rnacentral:rRNA from 1 species
UUGCCUACGGGGGGCAGCAGUGGGGGAUAUUGCACAAUGGGGGGAACCCUGAUGCAGCGACGCCGCGUGGGUGAAGGAGCGUUUCGGCGCGUAAAGCCCUAUCGGCAGGGAAGAAGAUGACGGUACCUGACCAAGAAGCCCCGGCUAACUACGUGCCAGCAGCCGCGGGAAUACGUAGGGGGCAAGCGUUAUCCGGAUUUACUGGGUGUAAAGGGGGCGCAGACGGCAAGGCAAGCCAGGAGGGAAAGGCCGGGGCCCAACCCCGG